CAUGUGUAGCGGUGAAAUGNGUAGAUAUAUGGAGGAACACCGGUGGCGAAAGCGGCUNUCUGGUCUGUCACUGACGCUGAGGCUCGAAAGCGUGGGUAGCGAACAGGAUUAGAUACCCUGGUAGUCCACGCCGUAAACGCUGAGUGCUAGGUGUUAGGUCCUUUCCGGGACUUAGUGCCGACGCUAACGCAUUAANCACUCCGCCUGGGGAGUACGACCGCAAGGUUGAAACUCAAAGGAAUUGACGGGGGCCCGCACAAGCGGUGGAGCAUGUGGUUUAAUUCGAAGCAACGCGAAGAACCUUACCAGGUCUUGACAUCCCGAUGCCCGCUCUAGAGAUAGAGUUUUACUUUUUGUACAUCGGAGACAGGUGGUGCAUGGUUGUCGUCAGCUCGUGUCGUGAGAUGUUGGGUUAAGUCCCGCAACGAGCGCAACCCUUAUUGUUAGUUGCCAUCAUUAAGUUGGGCACUCUAGCGAGACUGCCGGUAAUAAACCGGAGGAAGGUGGGGAUGACGUCAAAUCAUCAUGCCCCUUAUGACCUGGGCUACACACGUGCUACAAUGGUUGGUACAACGAGUCGCAAGCCGGUGACGGCAAGCUAAUCUCUGAAAGCCAAUCUCAGUUCGGAUUGUAGGCUGCAACUCGCCUACAUGAAGUCGGAAUCGCUAGUAAUCGCGGAUCAGCACGCCGCGGUGAAUACGUUCCCGGGCCUUGUACAC
rnacentral:rRNA from 1 species